rnacentral:rRNA from 1 species
CGUAACAAGGUCUCCGUUGGUGAACCAGCGGAGGGAUCAUUACCGAGUUUACAACUCCCAAACCCCUGUGAACAUACCACUUGUUGCCUCGGCGGAUCAGCCCGCUCCCGGUAAAACGGGACGGCCCGCCAGAGGACCCCUAAACUCUGUUUCUAUAUGUAACUUCUGAGUAAAACCAUAAAUAAAUCAAAACUUUCAACAACGGAUCUCUUGGUUCUGGCAUCGAUGAAGAACGCAGCAAAAUGCGAUAAGUAAUGUGAAUUGCAGAAUUCAGUGAAUCAUCGAAUCUUUGAACGCACAUUGCGCCCGCCAGUAUUCUGGCGGGCAUGCCUGUUCGAGCGUCAUUUCAACCCUCAAGCACAGCUUGGUGUUGGGACUCGCGUUAAUUCGCGUUCCYCAAAUUGAUUGGCGGUCACGUCGAGCUUCCAUAGCGUAGUAGUAAAACCCUCGUUACUGGUAAUCGUCGCGGCCACGCCGUUAAACCCCCAACUUCUGAAUGUUGACCUCGGAUCAGGUAGGAAUACCCGCUGAACUUAAGCAUAUCAAUAAGCGGAGGAA